rnacentral:rRNA from 1 species
UGGGGAAUAUUGGACAAUGGGCGAAAGCCUGAUCCAGCAAUGCCGCGUGAGUGAAGAAGGUCUUCGGAUUGUAAAGCUCUUUCACGGGUGAAGAUAAUGACGGUAACCCGAGAAGAAGCCCCGGCUAACUUCGUGCCAGCAGCCGCGGUAAUACGAAGGGGGCUAGCGUUGUUCGGAAUUACUGGGCGUAAAGGGCGCGUAGGCGGUUUAUCAAGUUAGGUGUGAAAGCCCUGGGCUCAACCCAGGAACUGCAUUUAAGACUGAUAGGCUAGAGAUCUAGAGGGGAUAGUGGAAUUCCAAGUGUAGAGGUGAAAUUCGUAGAUAUUUGGAGGAACACCAGUGGCGAAGGCGACUAUCUGGCUAGAAUCUGACGCUGAGGCGCGAUAGCGUGGGGAGCAAACA